rnacentral:lncRNA from 1 species
ACUGAUUAUUGAGCUAAGGACUGGCUGUAGCCUAGACAGUCUUCCAGCCUGGACGGAGGCCUCCUGAGCAACUCAGAGUGAAUGUGUUUUCAGAGUUAAGUACCAGUUAUUCCUAGGUCAUCGGGAGGUCUCUACUUUGAAAGUGGGGAAACUGAGUCUCAAGCUCGGGGACAUCAAUAGUCAGGAAGCUCAGAUCCACAGAGAGAAGCUGGCUUCUGCCCGAGUUCCAUACUCCUCUAGGCUUCUCCAUCGGCCACAUGGCCCCCAAAGAAGCACACCCACCUGCAGCCCCAGGCCCCUCCUUCGUGUCUGAGAGCCUUCAGGACUUCAGCUCUCUCUGUCUCAUCGUCUGGGUAUCCUAAAUAGUACGUUCCCUGACCUCCUGCAUGAGUCAGAGGCCCCACAGUGAAUUCUUGUCUCUGUUCCCCAUUCCUCUAGCAGGACUGCACUAGGAGGUCUGUGUCCCUCGUUGACCCCGAAGCCACCUCCUUGUUCCUUGUGGUACCCAACAGGGCACAAGGAUAGCUUCCCCAGGGAAGGUUACAGAUGUGUGUCUCUCAGCCAAGGACAGAGCCCAGGACAACAGACAGACAAACAGAUGGAUGGACGGGAGGCUCCUGCUCCUUGUUACAGUCAAGUGCAUCAUCUCUGUCUGAGCCUGCCACCUUCAGUAUUUGGUAGCCACCCUUCAGAUGAUGGAAAUUCCAUUCUGACCUCUUUCCAGGCACGUUCAGAAUCUCUGGGGUUGAGACUUCUCCAAAAACUUCUGCAGGAUCCUGGUGGGAAGCUCUCUCCUCUCUCUGCGUCAGCUUCCUGGGGGACCCACCGUUCCUUCCAGCCCAGAGCGGCAUCACUGUCUACACAUCACAAGCCUGGGUUGGUGUCGAGUGUCUCUGACUUUGGAGUCUCGAGCCCCGGACUUAGUUUUAUGGGCUUUGGCUGUCGAGGGCAGCCGACGACUCCAUCCAUCAACCGGGGACUGCUCUAACACUAAUGGUGAAUUUAUAGAAGUGGUUAAACAAAGUGUUGACAAUGCGGACGGUGUGUUUCUGAUUAACACACGAUUCCGAGGGAAGCUGCCAUCCGAGGGGGGAGUCAGUAAAACACAGCAGUGAAUUCCCAGGCCCCGGAGACUCCGACUAGACUGGAUCACCAGAGGUUGCGCAAGGAGAUCAUGAGUCUGAGGCUGCUGUGGGGACUCUUGUACAAACCCAGAGCCACCCCUCCCUUCCCCCCCUUUUUUUUUCUUGAGAGAUUACAUCUGAGUUCUCUCUUCCAGCCU